rnacentral:rRNA from 1 species
GCCCGAAGCCGAUUAUCUAACCUUUUGGAAGAAUUCGUCGAAGGUGGAAUCAAUAACUGGGGUGAAGUCGUAACAAGGUAGCCGUAUCGGAAGGUGCGGCUGGAUCACCUCCUUUCUAAGGAGA